rnacentral:misc_RNA from 1 species
UACUACGUCUGUGCAAAAGCAGACAACAAAUGUCUUUCCGGAAAUUGCUCGCACAUGGUAGAUGGGUCGUGUUUUGGUUCCUUUCGUACUCGAUGUGAUGCCAUGAAACGGGCAGGGUCACCUGUUCAAGAUGUGGAGAAAGUUGCUAAAAUUGAAGAAGAGGCGACAGCUGAAGAGGAGGUGACAGUAAGUGCUGGCGAAGAUCUCCAGAUUUCAACAAUAGUAGAAGGUGGUGAAGAGGAAGUGGGGGAGCAAGUUGUACAGUUGUACGAGAUCCAGCAGGCUGAAGUUGACGGUGGAGAGGAGACAGAGCUGUCCACCAUAGAACAACAGGUGGAAGAUAUGGAGAAUGUCACUGUCACUUCAGAUGAACAGACAAGUGUGGACACAGAUGGCAAUGUCAUCCAGUUACAACCAGUACAACAAGUCCAGAACAUCAUAGUUCAACACAUGGAUAUCUCUGACCCUCUUAAUGUACUGAGGCACCUGUUGGAGGCCAAAUUACAGUGCACGCUGGCAGAACACGAGUUUUACCUACAGGACAGUUUACUGUUAAAUCCUGAGAAGAACCUGGUGGAGCAGUGUGUACAGGGAGAAGGCAUGGUCCAGAUUAAUGUGGAAGUGAAAUCUCAGCCAGGCAUCAAACCAAGGAUUAAUAUUGUUGAUAUACUGAAACCAGCAGAGGAGGUAGUUGUACAACAGCCCACCACAGUGCCCGCGCAAGCUGCAAAUGUCACCAAGGUGGUGAUUCCUUUCCCAGAGGAGUCUGAACAUGUCACCAGGUGGAUUGUGGACCAGAAUUUCAGGAGGGAACAAGAGAGGCUGAAAAUACCAUUUGAUCCCUCUCACUGGAAUCAAGCCCACGUUAAACACUGGAUUCAGUGGGCAAUCAAGGAGUUUGGUCUGGACAACGUGGACAUAGAGAACUUCAAUGUGACAGGACAAGAACUGUGUGACAUGUCCCAUCCAGACUUCUCCAAGCUGAUCCCCAAUGACAAGGGGGACCUGUUCUGGACACAUCUGGAGCUGCUCAGGAAGUGUAAAUUUGUGGCUGUAGUUCAGCAGCCAACUCCUCAUGCUAUCACCACAGUAACAGUGUCAACAUCAGGGGACCUGGCAGGGGGCGGGGUAGCCAGGAAAGUCCACAAGCAAUCUCGGGCUCCCAGGAUAGGGGAGGGCUGGUCCCCAGGGAACAGGACAGGCAACAAUGGCCAGAUACAGCUGUGGCAAUUUUUACUGGAGCUUCUAACAGACAAAGAUUGCAGAGAAGUGAUCCAAUGGGUUGGAGAUAAUGGAGAGUUCAAGCUGAACAACCCAGAGAUGGUGGCCCAGAUGUGGGGUCAGAGGAAAAAUAAGCCCACCAUGAAUUAUGAGAAACUUAGCCGUGCUCUACGAUAUUACUAUGAUGGAGAUAUGAUCGCCAAGGUCCAUGGAAAGAGGUUUGUGUAUAAAUUUGUCUGUGAUCUGAAGAUGCUGCUGGGUUAUUCGGCGGCCGAGCUGAACAAAUUAGUGUCCGAGUGUGCUGAGAAGAAAUUACAGAAAGUCAGAGAACAGCUACGACCAGGAAUUAUCAGAAAAGUGAACAUUGCAGGUGGUGAUGCCAAGUCACCUUCUUGAAAAAAAAAAACAGUACUGCUUAACACUGCACGUGAAAAGUUGCUAUGGUAAGGCAGUGUAUUCUUACUAAGACAGACUACAGCAUUCAUUAUCCAACUGCUAUGUAGUUGUUAUCUAUGUAAAAAUACUUUGCCAGCACUUCAAGAAUUCUCUUACUCAUACUUGGUUCACUUGGAAAGUGUAGUAAGUUAUGUGUGUUUUGAUAGCACACAUAUUCAGUACGUGGACACUGCCAGGUUGUUAGGGAUGUGAUUUUUUGUUAAAAAUUACCUGAUUUCAAAAAAAUUUAUAUGCCAACCAAAAAGUCUUGCAGGUAUUGUGGACAUUUGCUGAUGUCAGGGGCUUUUUUUAACCAUGUCAUGUCUCACACAGUGCAGUUUGCCUUCAUUUAUCUUAUUGCUUUCUAUACUAUCAAUUUGAGACAUUGAAGUAAAGUUACAGGUUUGGAAGGCAGGUCAUUAGUGAAGAUCAAGUGAUGAUGAUAUAGAAUUUCCAACGCUGCUGUUAGAUUUCAGCAAAGUAUUAGACAGAAAAAAGUUAUGGAUACAGUUCAAUCAGGGGUCAAUUUUACAUAACUUCUGACUGACAAUUUUGGGUGUACUUCAUUUAGUAGCAAAGUAGAAGUCUAAGAGAGUUUUGGUCUUGAAUAUUAGCGGUUUAUUUUGGCUCAAAGUAGACCAAAUUCUGAUCUUAAUUUUUGGACCAAAUUUUUAGGUCUUAAGUUCUCUUGUGAAAUCAGCUUUCAGGGCUGCAAUGAGGAAACUAAAGGAAGUGCUGUUUGAAGAGUUUUAGAGAAAUAUAAAUAUUUUUCAAUUUUUAGAACUUGGUUUAGUUUCACAUAGUUUGAUGGAUUUUCCCCAAGAUGAAUGUUAUAAAAGUUGGAUCAUGGUGUAAUGCAUUUAAUCACCAUGGUAUAUCUUGUAUAUACAAAACAGCUAAAAAUUUUAGGUGACUUGACGUCAACUUUUGUAAAUAGUUCACUGUGACAGUGUUGUAAGUGAAUGUUAUUUUUAUAGAUAUGUGCAUAUGAUAGAUAUCAAAUGUGGCUCGUCAGUUAUGUUAUUGUGAACAUUUGUAUGUAAACUUUUGUAAUGUGUACAUAGAUAUCAGUUGUACUUCUUUUGUAACCAUCUACUCUUCAUUCUUUAUUUAGAUUUAUUUUUCUCAUCACUGGACCCCAGUAUUGUGUUGUUUUACAUCAGUGAGAAAGAAGUGAAGAAAAAAUUAAGGUUAUUCAGAUUUCUAAUCCAGUUUAGUGAUAAAUUGGGAAUUAUGUUUAAAAAAUAUGCUUCUUUGAUUUUACACAAGCAGGAGUCAUCCAAUUUAUAAUGUUUGGUUUCAAAACUGCGGCCAAUUGUUGAGAUGUAUUUCAGUAUGGUCAUUCUUAAAACAAGUGCGUCAGGUUAACAAAUAUAUCUGAGAAGAAACUUUAUUUGGUAAAUAAGAAAUAGUUUGCCUGAGGUUAAAUUUUUACUGUGUGUUUCAUCUAUUAUCAUCACUGAAAGCUAUCUCAUUUAAAUUGAGCCCUUCAUUUCAGUUGGCGUUUUAUUUUAUACGGAGUGAUAAAAUAAUGUGUAUCACAUACAGAACUCCUUAUAUCUGUUUUCUUCUACAAAAGAUGCCAUUUUCUUACUGUUACCUGCCGUCAUUAGAAUGUUGCAUUUGAAAGUUUCAUCAAAGAAGUUUGGGUACCAGCGAGUAUUUGAUAUUAGUUUUAUCAUACAUAUAUAUUACAUAUAUAUAUAGCCCAUUUUACGGGAGUUUCCUUGGACAGCCAGUACUGGCCACAUGUAUAUACUACAAAGUUUUGAUAUGAAAGAUAACUCGGGAAAGACUGA